rnacentral:lncRNA from 1 species
AUGCCCGUCCCUCCCUGUCCUCUGCCAGUCAGUCGUGGUGAGGUCGGAUGCCUGUGGGCUCCCGAACUUGACCUUCACUGUCCACUCCCUCCUCUCUCUCCUUCCAAGGUCCGGGCAGUAGCAGAGUCACAUCCGCUUCCUGGGCUUUCUAACAAAGGAGGAAGUGAGCGAGCCAGCCGGACCCGAGCCGUCUCCCAGCUGUCUCCCCAUCAUCAUCCCUGGAGCCUGCGGCGGCGGAAGCACUUUGCUCUGGAACCUGAGCCCAGGCCAUUACUUCGGGGUAUGAGUCCUUUGUACUGCAAGAGUGGAAAUGUCGCCUAUAAAAAGCUAUCAAGGUCCAGAACAUCCCCUGUCCUUGCUAUUUCAGUAAAGAUUUCUUCCUGUGGUUCCUUCUGGUCCCCACACAAACAUCACCUCGCUGGGGGAGUCGGUACAAAUGCUGUGACUCUCACCCCUGAGUAUCAGAGCAGACAUUCAACAGGAGGCUGAGGCAGGAGGAUCCUGUGAGCCUAGGAGUUCAAGGUCAAGCUGGGCAACACAACAAAGCAAAAACAGAAAACAGACUGCAACAAGUUGGGAGGGGACAUCAUUUGAAUCUAUAGUCGUCCCACGACACAAAGAGGAACCGAAAGGAUUUCUGUCGAGGACGAUGUCAGCUUGGAAAAGGCGACGUCAGAGAGGAGUGGGGACGCAGAGGGUGACACCCGUCCACCCUCUCACUUGGGAGGCUCAGACAGACCAACAAACUCCGCAGCCGGCAGAGGAGCGGCUGAUCCCCUUGGGGCCUCUCAGGCAGCCCCGGUGAGGACAUCCUUUCCGCAGGGAGGCCCUGGGCGUUCUGGGGGCCGCGGCAUCCCAGGGUAAAGCACAGUGGACGCCUGGAACCCAGACGGUGCCAGCCCGGCCUCACCCUUUCCUCCUCUGUGCCCACGGUGAGGCCUGGAGUGCCAGGCCUGUGCUGCCCUCACGUGCGUGGUGCCCCAGCACCCGUGUCUCACUGCACCCCUGCGCUGGGGCCACCAUUAAAUAAAGUAGGCGCACACACACCCCAGGAGCACAGCAUCCCCGGGAGAGGUGAGGGGCGCUGGCAUGCUGCGGGUACAGGGCGAUUCCCCAGGCACGAGUCAGGCCCGGGUGGCUGAGGGCGACGCCCCCAGCGGAGGCUUCCCAAGGGCAGGCCUGAGGGCAGCCCCUCCGGUCCUCGGCUGCCAUCGCCGCCAGGCAGCGCCCCAGGGAGGCGCCUCGGGCCGGAGACAGUAGAGAGGCGGGGAGGCGGCGGGGAGGCGGCCCGCCCCGGCUGCAGCGCGCACGGCGCCAGAAGUUCUGCUCCUGCAGCUCCGAGAAAGUUUGCCACGUCCAAGGACACUUUCCUGGGACACUGGGUACAAACUCGGGGGCCCCUGCGCCCCAAGCCCGCCUUCCGCCUUCGCUCCCG